UUAUCUGGGCAAGCUUUGCACAGUGGCCAAUGAAGUUUAUCCAAGGUGCGAUUAUUGCUAAUUGAAAACUCUUCCCCAUACCCUGCCAUGAUGACUUGAAAUAUAGUCGGCAUUAGCAAUUUUUGACAGUCUCUACAGAGA
rnacentral:snRNA from 1 species